AAGUGGCAACUGGGACCUACCAGGAAGUGCAUCUGACACAGAAAACUCAGUAAAACUGUUACUUCUGGAUGGGUCUACGAGACAUCUUAUGAGAAAUGAAGCUGUGCCACUGUGGCACUGAGGCAUGAAAGCUUUUCUUACACCUUCAGCUGCUGGGAAGCACAGGGCUCUGGGCUGACCCAAGAGAUUCAGGAGCACUAGAAAGGGUGGACAGGAGAGGAACAGACACAAGCAGCGCUGCAGGUCACUGGGACACCUUCUUCCAGAGAGAGCAGCACGAGCUUCCAUGGUUGGUGGCACCAUGGCAAAUGCCACACCACGACAUGUUCCAGUACAAGAUCACAGCAUCUCAGAGAAAGCUCACUGGUCUUCUGGGUCAGCACAGCACAGACAGGUGAAGAUGGUGGUGAAGGUGGACAGGGACAUCUCUGCAGCACCUCCCACAGCCACAGAGGUGCAGGAGACUCAGAGGAUGAAGCAGAAGGACUGCAUGUGACAGACCCAUGGGAGGUGUCCCCUACUCUAGCGUAACCUGCAGUCAAGCAACUCCUCAGAGAAUUUCAAACACGUUUUGUUGCAUGUGACACUGUGUUUGAAAAUUGUACUUUCAAGAGACCAAAAAAUAAUCCACUGACCUACAUAAAAUAUCCAGUUUAAGUGAACCAAAAGUGUUAGCAGACAUUGAAAAGUAAUCAUCUUUAAUCAAAAUUGCACCAUAAACUCCAAGAAGAACAGCAGGAGCAAAAAACUGUCAGGCUCCUGUACAGCACAGCACUCUUGGAAGGAGGAGCUGUUUUGAGGAGGCAAAGGAGCACACCAGAAUCACUAAAGCAUCCCAUUUAUAAAUAAAGUUGUUAAAACACACUGCUGGAAAACACCAGCAGAACUGAAA